GAUGAACGCUGGCGGCGUGCCUAAUACAUGCAAGUCGAGCGAACGGACGAGAAGCUUGCUUCUCUGAUGUUAGCGGCGGACGGGUGAGUAACACGUGGAUAACCUACCUAUAAGACUGGGAUAACUUCGGGAAACCGGAGCUAAUACCGGAUGAUAUUUUGAACCGCAUGGUUCAAAAGUGAAAGACGGUCUUGCUGUCACUUAUAGAUGGAUCCGCGCUGCAUUAGCUAGUUGGUAAGGUAACGGCUUACCAAGGCAACGAUGCAUAGCCGACCUGAGAGGGGGAUCGGCCACCUUGGAACUGAGCCACGGUCCAGACUCCUACGGGAGGCAGCAGUAGGGAAUCUUCCGCAAUGGGCGAAAGCCUGACGGAGCAACGCCGCGUGAGUGAUGAAGGUCUUCGGAUCGUAAAACUCUGUUAUUAGGGAAGAACAUAUGUGUAAGUAACUGUGCACAUCUUGACGGUACCUAAUCAGAAAGCCACGGCUAACUACGUG
rnacentral:rRNA from 1 species